GGGGAAUAUUGGACAAUGGGCGCANGCCUGAUCCAGCCAUGCCGCGUGAGUGAUGAAGGCCCUAGGGUUGUAAGCUCUUUUGUGCGGGAAGAUAAUGACGGUACCGCAAGAAUAAGCCCCGGCUGACUUCGUGCCAGCAGCCGCGGUAAUACGAAGGGGGCUAGCGUUGCUCGGAAUCACUGGGCGUAAAGGGUGCGUAGGCGGGUCUUUAAGUCAGGGGUGAAAUCCUGGAGCUCAACUCCAGAACUGCCUUUGAUACUGAGGAUCUUGAGUUCGGGAGAGGUGAGUGGAACUGCGAGUGUAGAGGUGAAAUUCGUAGAUAUUCGCAAGAACACCAGUGGCGAAGGCGGCUCACUGGCCAGUACUGACGCUCAUGCACGAAAGCGUGGGGAGCAAACAGGAUUAGAUACCCUGGUGGUCCACGCCCUAAACGAUGUCAACUGGUUGUUGGACGGCUUGCUGUUCAGUAACGAAGCUAACGCGUGAAGUUGACCGCCUGGGGAGUACGGCCGCAAGGUUG
rnacentral:rRNA from 1 species